CCUACAUUUUAAAAUGUUGUCCUACAUUUGUCCCGAUUUGGAGGUCCUGACUUAUGGCAACCCUUCAUGAAAGGUAUUUCCGUCUCCACCACAACUUCAUGCUUCUGAAGUCUAGCCUGCAACAAUAUUUGCAAGUAGUUCUCGAGCAAACACAGUUCCAACUGGAACUAGUCAGGAGACUUGGCCACCAAGAAUUCCUGCCCGUACCGCCAUGGCACCCAAUGAGAUGGCUUUGUAGAAAUUGUGGAACAGACAAUCCACCAGAGGCAGUUUCCUGCAAUCAAUGCAGUCUUUGACGGCAGCAUUAAUUGUUGAUUGUAGUUUUAUAUCUCUCUCUCUCUGGCUUUGCUUUGCGAACGAAGAUUCAGGAAGGACUGAGGAAAAGGGUAAAUUAUAUAAUUAAAUAAUAGCUAUAGUUUGUAUUUUGCCAUGAAGUUUUAAGAUUACCAUGAGAAACUUAUAUAUCAGGCUAUACAAUAGGAGUAAACAAGUAGUUUACAACAUGCAGUAAUAUCCAACUGUAAAGGAAGUAGAACUAGAAAGAUAAUGACAUCAAUGAUCAGAUGUAAAUAUAGGUACGUAAGUUAGGAGUUUGUUUGUAUUAGUCAAUGUUUAGUUCUGUGUUUUAUAUUUUAUGACGUUGUUAUGCUAAUUUUUCUAUCUCUCUGCUUGUUAUUCUUUAUUCUAAAUAAAUAUUUUUUUUA